CUACUUGUAACCAAUUUAUCCUUUAAUACCUAUGUCAUGUAUUAUCCGUCUCCCUAUCUCUUGCGGCCAGGUGCGUCUGUUUUCGUGCACUCUUCUGUUUCUCUCGGUCCAGAUCCCCCAUACCGCCGCUGCCGUGUAUGCCCAUGUCAGACCCUAGCAUGGCGUGUUCUUUGUCCUGGCGUGGGCCUCUUCCAAUACCUAUUCUAAUGAGUGUCCUGCGCAUGUAAUCGAACCUGGUUUUGCAUUUAAUAUAUAGGAUCAUACGUCCAUGGAAAAUUUACAUUUGAAGAACACAUGGUUUUGCGAUUUCCAUGGUCUUCCACAUAAUAUGCAGUCAGUAUUUCUCCCUCCUCUUCUUCUAGCUCAAUCGACCUUCAUCGAUAUCUUAACUCAUCUAGCCCUCCAUAGUGUUAUGCUAAAUUUCCUAAUGCUAGUGGUUCAUACCCCAUCCCAUUAUUUGUCGGUUUCUCCUUUACUCUUAAUGUUGGUGAAGUGCCACUCCCGAUCCAACUAUAAUUGUAGUCGGGAACAUUUUCUAUUUUGUCCUUGCUAUCUAUUAUUCCCGCCCAUAAGGCGGAGUCUACCCUUCUUUGCUUGCUUAUAUCUUUAAGGACCCUUCCCCUCACAUACCUCUCUCUCAUCCAUGUUGCUCAGAUAGAGUCCUGAGCCGCCCAUAUCCUUCCCA
rnacentral:lncRNA from 1 species